rnacentral:lncRNA from 1 species
GUCCCUUCUAUAGGUGUACUUCAUCAAGGACCACUUUUGGUUAAAGUAGAUUUCCUUUUAGUUUCUAGACUCGUGAAGCAAAGAUGUUUUAUCUGUGCAAGGGUUGGCAAUCAUUCAUACUCAACUUUCUCUUCUAUUUUAAUUCACUUUUUUUCUCUUUCGUAUCAAAUCAGUUCUCAUAUAUCUCAUUUCUCUUUUUUUUUUCCUUCUCUUUAGGUGUAUGUGUUUUUUAACGGUCA